CUUAACACAUGCAAGUCGAACGGGAUUUAGUAGACAGAAGCUUCGGUGGAAGAUUACUAAUGAGAGUGGCGAACGGGUGAGUAACGCGUGAGCAACCUGCCUAUGACAGUGGGAUAGCCUCGGGAAACCGGGAUUAAUACCGCAUAAAAUCGUAGAAACACAUGUUUUAGCGGUCAAAGAUUUAUCGGUCAUAGAUGGGCUCGCGUCUGAUUAGCUAGUUGGUGAGAUAACAGCCCACCAAGGCGACGAUCAGUAGCCGGUCUGAGAGGAUGAACGGCCACAUUGGAACUGAGACACGGUCCAAACUCCUACGGGAGGCAGCAGUGGGGAAUAUUGCACAAUGGGGGAAACCCUGAUGCAGCGACGCCGCGUGAACGAAGAAGGUAUUCGUAUCGUAAAGUUCUGUCCUAUGGGAAGAUAAUGACAGUACCAUAGAAGAAAGCUCCGGCUAAAUACGUGCCAGCAGCCGCGGUAAUACGUAUGGAGCGAGCGUUGUCCGGAAUUAUUGGGCGUAAAGGGUACGCAGGCGGUUUAAUAAGUCGAAUGUUAAAGAUCGGGGCUCAACCCCGUAAAGCAUUGGAAACUGAUAAACUUGAGUAGUGGAGAGGAAAGUGGAAUUCCUAGUGUAGUGGUGGAAUACGUAGAUAUUAGGAGGAAUACCAGUAGCGAAGGCGACUUUCU
rnacentral:rRNA from 2 species